UACGAAGGGGGCUAGCGUUGUUCGGAAUUACUGGGCGCAAAGCGCACGUAGGCGGACUUUUAAGUCAGGUGUGAAAUCCCGGGGCUCAGCCUCGGAACUGCAUUUGAAACUGGGAGUCUUGAGACCAGGAGAGGUUAGCGGAAUACCGAGUGUAGAGGUGAAAUUCGUAGAUAUUCGGUGGAACACCAGUGGCGAAGGCGGCUAACUGGACUGGUACUGACGCUGAGGUGCGAAAGUGUGGGGAGCAAACAGG
rnacentral:rRNA from 1 species